rnacentral:rRNA from 1 species
UUCCAGACUCCUACGGGAGGCAGCAGUGAGGAAUAUUGGUCAAUGGCCGUAAGGCUGAACCAGCCAAGUAGCGUGAGGGAAGACUGCCCUAUGGGUUGUAAACCUCUUUUAUGCGGGGAUAAAGGUGUCCACGUGUGGAUGUUUGCAGGUACCGCAUGAAUAAGGACCGGCUAAUUCCGUGCCAGCAGCCGCGGUAAUACGGAAGGUCCGGGCGUUAUCCGGAUUUAUUGGGUUUAAAGGGAGCGUAGGCCGGUCUUUAAGCGUGCCGUGAAAUUUUGUGGCUCAACCAUGAGAGUGCGGCGCGAACUGGAGACCUUGAGUGCGCGGAAGGCAGGCGGAAUUCGUGGUGUAGCGGUGAAAUGCUUAGAUAUCAUGAAGAACUCCGAUCGCGAAGGCAAGUGUCCGGGGUGCAACUGACGCUGAGGCUCGAAAGUGCGGGUAUCAAACAGGAUUAGAUACCCUCGUA